AAUGAACGUUGGCGGCGUGCAUAAUACAUGCAAGUCGAGCGAAAACCCCGCGAGGUUGCUCAUCGGCCAUAAGGGGAGGAAGGGGUAGAUUAACUUCCCUCAGCUCCGUGAUAGCUUCGGAAAACUUCAGGUAAUACCAGCUAACAUCGCCGAAUCUAAUGUAUGAUUCCGCCUGAUAGUGAAUCUCGAUCCUAUUGUCUAUUUUAGAGGGAUUCGCCCCGCAAUAGCUAGUUGGUAAGGAAAUGGCGUACCAAGGCCUCGAUGCGUAGCCGACCUGAUAGGGUGAUCAGCCACACUAGAGCGGAGACGCGGUCGAGACUCCUACGAGAGGCAGCAGUAGGGAAGCUUCCGCGAUGGGCGGAAGCCUGACGGAGCAACGCCGCGUGAGGUAUGAAGGUCUUCGGAGCGUAAAACUCUAUUAUUAGGGAAGAAGAAAUGUGGAAGUAACUAUGCACGUCUUGACGAUACCUAAUCAGAAAGCCAGGGCUAACUACGUG
rnacentral:rRNA from 1 species